rnacentral:rRNA from 1 species
GACGAACGCUGGCGGCGUGCCUAAUACAUGCAAGUAGAACGCUGAAGCGAGGAGCUUGCUCUUCUUGGAUGAGUUGCGAACGGGUGAGUAACGCGUAGGUAACCUGCCUGGUAGCGGGGGAUAACUAUUGGAAACGAUAGCUAAUACCGCAUAAAAUGGAUUAUCGCAUGAUAAUCCAUUGAAAGGUGCAAAUGCAUCACUACCAGAUGGACCUGCGUUGUAUUAGCUAGUUGGUGGGGUAACGGCUCACCAAGGCGACGAUACAUAGCCGACCUGAGAGGGUGAUCGGCCACACUGGGACGGAGACACGGCCCAGACUCCUACGGGAGGCAGCCGUAGGGAAUCUUCGGCCAGGGACGGAAGUCUGACCGAGCAAGGCCGCGUGAGUGAAGAAGGUUUUCGGAUCGUAAAGCUCUGUUGUAAGAGAAGAAAGAGUGUGAGAGUGGAAAGUUCACACUGUGACGGUAUCUGACCAGAAAGGGACGGCUAACUACGUG